rnacentral:rRNA from 1 species
AUGGCGCGGCCGGGCAUGUGCGAGGACGAGGCACACCUCCCGCUUGAAGAAGAUGCCACCCCAACAUCACCACGAAUCGUGGAGGAGAGGAGUAAUAGCGGGCGAAUCAUGGAGAAGAGGAGUCGCAGAGGGCGCCGGCGGCCGCGGAGGCCCUGCCCCAUCGGCGCUGCAUUGGGAAGGAGGGGGCAGAGAGAGCGAGGCGUGGUGGGGUGGUGGGUUGGCAGAUCGGAGAAAGCCUUGGGAAGGAGGACGCGACUGAAUCGGGUGGAGGCGAGGCUGCUGACCCACGGGACCGGCGACUGGGGCGAACGGCCAGAUCAAGCUUAUGGCUGGGUUGGAUGGAGAAGAGGAAGAGGACCACGCUGGGAUGGCGAUCUGGAUAAGAGAAGGAGAGGAGUGGCGAUGGGAUAA